rnacentral:sRNA from 1 species
AGUGGAAAAGUGGAGCCUGCACCGCCCGCUCUCGGCACCCCCGGACACCGCCCCGGUCUCACGCAUGCGCAGAGGGCCGAUCCAGUUCUUUCCGGCUGGAAUGGGGAAUUUGUGAGGUCAAGGAUGCAUUCCAGGAAAGUUCUAUAAAAAUAUACCAUCAACUCCAACCUGAUAUUUGACCUAGCCAUGGAAAACCUCAUUGGCUCCUCACUGGAUCAGACCAUAAAAAUGAUCCAGGAAUGAAAAUCUAAGAUAAAUUCCCACCACUUCAAGAUGUUCUUAUACAAGUCAACAGUCUAGCAGAUCAGCCAGUCUCUUUCAUCAUCAAGCAGACAUACUCAAGAAAGAGGAAUAGUGAAGUGAAAUACACAGAAGCAUGUUCAAGUUCAUCUGUUGAAUCUGGAAUUGUGAAUAGUGACAAUAUUGAGAAAAAUACUGACUCCAAUCUGCAAACUUCAACUUCAUUUGAGCCACAUUUCAAAAAGAAAAAAAAGAAAAAUUUGAAACAUUAAGGGAAAACAGUUGGGUAAAAGAUCCAUUUGCUUUUCGAAACCCUGAAUCAAUAAUUGAGCUAAACUUGGUGCCUGAAGAAGAGAAUGAAUUAUUGCAGCUUAGUUCUUCAUAUACAUUGAAGA